rnacentral:rRNA from 1 species
AGUGAACGCUGGCGGUAGGCCUAACACAUGCAAGUCGAACGGCAGCACAGGAGAGCUUGCUCUCUGGGUGGCGAGUGGCGGACGGGUGAGGAAUACAUCGGAAUCUACUCUGUCGUGGGGGAUAACGUAGGGAAACUUACGCUAAUACCGCAUACGACCUCCGGGUGAAAGCAGGGGACCUUAGGGCCUUGCGCGAUUGACUGAGCCGAUGUCUGAUUAGCUAGUUGGCGGGGUAAAGGCCCACCAAGGCGACGAUCCGUAGCUGGUCUGAGAGGAUGAUCAGCCACACUGGAACUGAGACACGGUCCAGACUCCUACGGGAGGCAGCUGUGGGGAAUAUUGGACAAUGGGCGCAAGCCUGAUCCAGCCAUACCGCGUGGGUGAAGAAGGCCUUCGGGUUGUAAAGCCCUUUUGUUGGGAAAGAAAUCCAGCUGGCUAAUACCCGGUUGGGAUGACGGUACCCAAAGAAUAAGCACCGGCUAACUUCGUGCCAGCCGCCGCGGUAA